rnacentral:tRNA from 1 species
GGUUUCAGGGGUUGGAGCGUCUGGUUUGCAACCAGAAGGUCGGCGGUUCGAGCCCGCUCGGCUCCA